rnacentral:rRNA from 1 species
AACGAACGCUGGCGGCAUGCCUAACACAUGCAAGUCGAACGAACCCUUCGGGGUUAGUGGCGCACGGGUGCGUAACGCGUGGGAAUCUGCCCUUGGCUUCGGAAUAACAGUUAGAAAUGACUGCUAAUACCGGAUGAUGUCUUCGGACCAAAGAUCUAUCGGCCAGGGAUGAGCCCGCGUAGGAUUAGGUAGUUGGUGGGGUAAAGGCCUACCAAGCCGACGAUCCUUAGCUGGUCUGAGAGGAUGAUCAGCCACACUGGGACUGAGACACGGCCCAGACUCCUACGGGAGGCAGCAGUGGGGAAUAUUGGACAAUGGGCGCAAGCCUGAUCCAGCAAUGCCGCGUGAGUGAUGAAGGCCUUAGGGUCGUAAAGCUCUUUUACCCGGGAUGAUAAUGACAGUACCGGGAGAAUAAGCCCCGGCUAACUCCGUGCCAGCCGCCGCCGUAAAAC